rnacentral:rRNA from 1 species
AUUGAACGCUGGCGGCAGGCCUAACACAUGCAAGUCGAGCGGGGUUUUCGGACCUAGCGGCGGCCGGGUGAGUAAUGCGUAGGAAGCUGCCCGAUAGAGGGGGAUACCAGUUGGAAACGACUGUUAAUACCGCAUAAUGUCUACGGACCAAAGUGUGGGACCUUCGGGCCACAUGCUAUCGGAUGCGCCUACGUGGGAUUAGCUAGUUGGUGAGGUAAUGGCUUACAAAGGCGACGAUCUCUAGCUGGUUUGAGAGGGUGAACAGCCACACUGGAACUGAGACACGGUACAGACUCCUACGGGAGGCAGCAGUGGGGAAUAUUGGACAAUGGGCGCAAGCCUGAUCCAGCCAUGCCGCGUGUGUGAAGAAGGCCUUCGGGUUGUAAAGCACUUUCAGCGAGGAGGAAGGGUGGUGUGUUAAUAGCACAUCAUUUUGACGUUACUCGCAGAAGAAGCACCGGCUAACUCUGUGCCAGCAGCCGCCGUAAUAC